UAUUAUACUUUUCCGAUGCCCGUGAAUUUUGGGUCAUUACACAUGUCCUUCUAAAAAACAAAUGCCACAUAGUGAAGCUUUCGCAGUACCUCCAGUCAUCAAGUUACUUACCUUACCCGUUAAAUUGGCUAAUUGAGCCUCCAUCAUACUCGACUGGCCCUCAUCCAUUCGUUUACCCAAAUCGGACCUCCUGAGACCGAAUUGCUGUCUAUUCUGCGCCAUAUUAGCGAUCAAAUUUUGAGCUUGCUCAGGAGUUUUAUCAACCAAUGUACCUCCACUCGCGGCAUCAAUCAUUCCUCGAUCUUGUGG
rnacentral:lncRNA from 1 species